rnacentral:rRNA from 1 species
UACGUAGGGGGCUAGCGUUGUCCGGAUUUAUUGGGCGUAAAGAGCGUGUAGGCGGCCAUGUAGGUCCGUUGUGAAAACUCGAGGCUCAACCUCGAGACGCCGAUGGAAACCAUGUGGCUAGAGUCCGGAAGAGGAGAGUGGAAUUCCUGGUGUAGCGGUGAAAUGCGCAGAUAUCGUAAGGAAGACCAGUGGCGAAGGCGGGUCUCUGGGCCGUAACUGACGCUGAGGAGCGAAAGCGUGGGGAGCGAACAGG